GGUUGGAGCUAUGAAAGCUAGAUCUCAUGCAUUUAAAACCAUUCAAAGCGGUUAGAUCAUGAAUAAUCAAUUCACACAUAGUGUAUAUGCACAUAUCUAUUUGAAGCCCGUGAGAUAUACUAUAGUAUGGUCUUGCUGCCAUCACCUUGUUGCUUUCUAUUGGGAUUAGGAACUUGCAUCACCUAGCUUAGCACAUUUUGCCAUUUUUCACACCAAUGGAGCCGGUUGAUGUGUUGGAUCUAUUCAAAGCGGUAAAAAUACACUGAAGAGCAUCAAAUUUGUCUAUAACUGUAACUAUGUGAUGAUGAACUAAUGAAGUAGAUGC
rnacentral:lncRNA from 1 species